rnacentral:rRNA from 1 species
AUGAGGGGCCUUAUAGUACAGAUGUGGCCUAGCGACUCCCUUCCCUACAGCUACUUCGGCCUGGUGAGGCGGCUUGUGGAUGCCUGCCCAUGGCUGGAAGUCAUUAAGCGGUCCGUCUACAUCGAAGGUGCACGCCGGGCUUUUGCCCGUGCGAAGGUGCACUGGGCCAAGAUGGACGCCGAGAAGCUGGUGAAGGAGGGGCCGCUGCAGGGCAAGGAGCAUCGCCACCCUGAAAUGUAUUAUGAGGGUGUCCUGAAGGGUGCCCGUCUUGUGGCGUAUGAGUGUGCGAAGGAUGUAAUUUUUGAAUGA